UUUUUCUAUCUUGCUGCCACUGAAGGUCCAUCGCCGCCAAUCUACGCCACUGCUGAAGAUGAGUUGUGUUUGCUCUUGCUUCCUAUUCGAUUCAAAUCCUUUGUCCUGUUGCAACCAUCGUCGCUGCCUUAAGAAAAUGAGACUGCUAUUAUUCCGGUUAAUGCUUCUGCUGCCGCCGUUUUCUCGUUCUAUUAUUGUCUAAUUGAGGUAAGGCAUUCUGGCUCUUGCUUCAAUUUGAGUUAGCAUGGAGUUUACAGAAUUUUUACUAUUAUCCUAUUUGAAUUCACCGUUUCUGAUUGCUGCCGUGACCACCUCACGAUGCUGCUGGUUCUAUUUGAAAAUGGCUGCUACUUCUGGAAUCCCAGAUCGGAGAGGAUAGGAGGCGUUUCACUUUGUCAUUGUUGCUGCCAUGGAAAUAGAUGCUGGAAACUGCUAAUGGAGCAGCUGCGUUUAGUGAUUUUUGCGAGUUUCGACUUUGA